GCUUGCUUGGUCUGCCCUUUUUCUUUUGAAAUGGAACUUAAGUUGGAGUGUUGGACAUAAAAGUAAUACUCAUGCUCCGCCAUCCUCGUCCGUUGAUGCUACCGCGGCUACAACACACACUUUGCCUCCCUCGUCGCCGACCGCCAGUGGCGGAGUCAGUACCCGGCGACCCGGGGCAGCUGCCCGGGCUCACCGGCAAGCUGACGUCUAAUCGAAGCUGGGUUACCGUGAUCUGCCCGGGCAAAUAGUCCGUAGGCCUUGCUUGGUGGCUAAUUAGCUGGGUCUACUUUUAAGCCCAUCUAGUAAACUUCCUAAUCCUAGGCCCAAAAGGCUGCACGUCUCAAGGCCUCAGUAGCUGGCAGCGCAACAAGUCGCUAGGCAAACCACGUCUCCACGGUUCAUGGUCGUCGCCUCCACCUAGAUCUAUUGCGACGGCUCGAGCCGCCCCGCAGUAGCAGUUUUGCAGAGGCAAUCGUCGCGAACUGGCGCAGCGCCUCCCAGCAAAGGAGGCAAGCCGGCAGCCAACGGUGCCUCCUACCAACCAUUCCUGCUCAGAGAUUGAUGCUUCGAUUUUCCAGUAACGUAGGCGAUUGGGAAUUCCAUCAUUGAUCGUUCCAAGCAGGCUCAUUGAAGAAAAAUCCAUCUCUCCGCUUUGCUAGGAAGCAAUAUUUGUUGCACAAUGUCAUGAGCAACAGUGCAGUGGUGACCUUCGCUUCACCAAGGGCUUCUCUGCAGCUAUCGAGGGUUAGUGUGUAGACGGAGACGCCGACAACGAGAUGGCUGAUAGGGGUGGCGCCGGCAAUGGCGAGGACGUCGACCGACAACAACAGCAUCCCCCUCUCCCAUCAGCAGCUAUGCCACAAUGCUACUCGAGUACUAAAACAAUAUUGGACAAUAUUGAUACAAUCAGGAAUCAGCUAACAUGAAUAUGUGCAUAUGCGUCGGUGCUACUACUGAAGCAGGCAAUGAAACUAAAGGGUGCAUGUUUUGUUCUUUUUCUA